rnacentral:rRNA from 1 species
UGGGGAAUAUUGGACAAUGGGGGCAACCCUGAUCCAGCAAUGCCGCGUGUGUGAAGAAGGUCUUCGGAUUGUAAAGCACUUUCGACGGGGACGAUGAUGACGGUACCCGUAGAAGAAGCCCCGGCUAACUUCGUGCCAGCAGCCGCGGUAAUACGAAGGGGGCCUAGCGUUGCUCGGAAUGACUGGGCGUAAAGGGCGUGUAGGCGGUUUACACAGUCAGAUGUGAAAUCCCCGGGCUUAACCUGGGAGCUGCA